rnacentral:rRNA from 1 species
AGUGAACGCUGGCGGUAGGCCUAACACAUGCAAGUCGAACGGCAGCACAGUAAGAGCUUGCUCUUACGGGUGGCGAGUGGCGGACGGGUGAGGAAUACAUCAGAAUCUACUUUUUCGUGGGGGAUACGUAGGGAAACUUACGCUAAUACCGCAUACGACCUACGGGUGAAAGCAGGGGAUCUUCGGACCUUGCGCGAUUGAAUGGGCCGAUGUCGGAUUAGCUAGUUGGCGGGGUAAAGGCCCACCAAGGCGACGAUCCGUAGCUGGUCUGAGAGGAUGAUCAGCCACACUGGAACUGAGACACGGUCCAGACUCCUACGGGAGGCAGCAGUGGGGAAUAUUGGACAAUGGGCGCAAGCCUGAUCCAGCCAUACCGCGUGGGUGAAGAAGGCCUUCGGGUUGUAAAGCCCUUUUGUUGGGAAAGAAAAGCAGCAGGUUAAUACCCCGCUGUUCUGACGGUACCCAAAGAAUAAGCACCGGCUAACUUCGUG